rnacentral:piRNA from 1 species
AAGAUGACACAUCUGAGCUCCAAG